rnacentral:rRNA from 1 species
GACGAACGCUGGCGGCGUGCUUAACACAUGCAAGUCGAGCGGAAAGGCCACUUCGGUGGUACUCGAGCGGCGAACGGGUGAGUAACACGUGAGUAAUCUGCCCCUGGCUUUGGGAUAGCCACCGGAAACGGUGAUUAAUACCGGAUACGACCACUUCUCGCAUGGGAUGGUGGUGGAAAGUUUUUUCGGCCAGGGAUGUGCUCGCGGCCUAUCAGCUUGAUGGUGAGGUAAUGGCACACCAUGGCUUCGACGGGGAGCCGGCCUGAGAGGGUGACCGGUCACACGGGGACAGAGACACGGCCCAGACUCCUACGGGGGGCAGCAGUGGAAAAUAUAGGACAAGGGGCGGAAGCCUGAUCCAGCACCGCCGCGGGAGGGAUGACGGCCUUCGGGUUGUAAACCUCUUUCAGCAGGGACGAAGCGCAAGUGACGGUACCUGCAGAAGAAGCCCCGGCCAACUACGUGCCAGCCGCCGCCGUAA